rnacentral:snRNA from 1 species
GCACUAGUUCUCUAGUGCAUCUACUAAAAUUGGAACGAUACAGAGAAGAUUAGCAUGGCCCCU